UACAGAGGCCUCGAGCGUUAGGCGGAAUCACUGGGCUUAAAGCGUGUGUAGGCGGCCUUCUAAGUACCUUGUGAAAUCCCACGGCUCACCCGUGGAACUGCUCGGUAUACUGGUCGUCUUGAGCCUUCUAGGGGCGAGUGGAACAAAUGGUGGAGCGGUGAAAUGCGUAGAUAUCAUUUGGAACGCCAAUGGUGAAAACAACUCGCUGGGGAAGUGCUGACGCUGAGACACGAAAGCCAGGGGAGCGAACGGG
rnacentral:rRNA from 1 species